CGUUGAUUCACCUGUUCCCAUCCGAUCACCGAAGUUAAACAACGUCAAGCUUGGUCAGUAUCUGGUUGGGUGACCGCUCACGUAUUCUAGAUGCUGCAAG